rnacentral:rRNA from 2 species
UUGACCUCGGAUCAGGUAGGGAUACCCGCUGAACUUAAGCAUAUCAAUAAGCGGAGGAAAAGAAACCAACAGGGAUUGCCCUAGUAACGGCGAGUGAAGCGGCAACAGCUCAAAUUUGAAAUCUGGCGUCUUCGGCGUCCGAGUUGUAAUUUGCAGAGGGCGCUUUGGCAUUGGCAGCGGUCCAAGUUCCUUGGAACAGGACGUCACAGAGGGUGAGAAUCCCGUACGUGGUCGCUAGCCUUUACCGUGUAAAGCCCCUUCGACGAGUCGAGUUGUUUGGGAAUGCAGCUCUAAAUGGGAGGUAAAUUUCUUCUAAAGCUAAAUACUGGCCAGAGACCGAUAGCGCACAAGUAGAGUGAUCGAAAGAUGAAAAGCACUUUGGAAAGAGAGUUAAAAAGCACGUGAAAUUGUUGAAAGGGAAGCGCUUGCAGCCAGACUUGCCUGUAGUUGCUCAUCCGGGUUUCUACCCGGUGCACUCUUCUAUGGGCAGGCCAGCAUCAGUUUGGGCGGUUGGAUAAAGGUCUCUGUCAUGUACCUCUCUUCGGGGAGAACUUAUAGGGGAGACGUCAUGCAACCAGCCUGGACUGAGGUCCGCGCAUCUGCUAGGAUGCUGGCGUAAUGGCUGUAAGCGGCCCGUCUUGAAACACGGACCAAGGAGUCUAACAUCUAUGCGAGUGUUUGGGUGUCAAGCCCGAGCGCGUAAUGAAAGUGAACGGAGGUGGGAACCUUUCGGGGUGCACCAUCGACCGAUCCUGAUGUCUUCGGAUGGAUUUGAGUAAGAGCAUAGCUGUUGGGACCCGAAAGAUGGUGAACUAUGCUUGAAUAGGGUGAAGCCAGAGGAAACUCUGGUGGAGGCUCGCAGCGGUUCUGACGUGCAAAUCGAUCGUCAAAUUUGGGCAUAGGG